AAGAUUUAUCGCUUCGGGAGCGGCCUGCGCAAUAUCAGCUAGUUGGUGAGGUAAUGGCUCACCAAGGCAAAGACGGGUAGCUGGUCUGAGAGGACGACCAGCCACACUGGAACUGAGACACGGUCCAGACACCUACGGGUGGCAGCAGUCGAGAAUUUUUCACAAUGGGCGAAAGCCUGAUGGAGCGACGCCGCGUGGGGGAUGAAGGGCUUCGGUCCGUAAACCCCUGUCAUUUGUGAACAAUGCUGAUGGUCUAACACACCAUCAGUUGAUAGUAACGAAAGAGGAAGGGACGGCUAACUCUGUGCCAGCAGCCGCGGUAAUACAGAGGUCCCAAGCGUUGUUCGGAUUCACUGGGCGUAAAGGGUGCGUAGGCGGUUAGGUAAGUCCGAUGUGAAAUCUCAGAGCUUAACUCUGAAACGGCAUUGGAUACUAUUUAGCUAGAGGAUUGGAGGGGGGACUGGAAUUCUCGGUGUAGCAGUGAAAUGCGUAGAGAUCGAGAGGAACACCGGUGGCGAAAGCGAGUCCCUGGACAAUUUCUGACGCUGAGGCACGAAAGCUAGGGGAGCAAACAGGAUUAGAUACCCUGGUAGUCCUAGCCGUAAACGGUGCACAUUUGCUGUGAGCGGAUUCGACCCCGCUUGUGGCGAAGCUAACGCGUUAAAUGUGCCGCCUGGGAAGUACGGUCGCAAGAUUAAAACUCAAAUGAAUUGACGG
rnacentral:rRNA from 1 species